rnacentral:rRNA from 1 species
CUACGGGAGGCAGCAGUGGGGGAUAUUGCACAAUGGAGGAAACCCUGAUGCAGCAACGCCGCGUGAGGGAAGAAGGUUUUCGGAUUGUAAACCUCUGUCCUUGGGGAAGAUAAUGACGGUAGCCAAGGAGGAAGCUCCGGCUAACUACGUGCCAGCAGCCGCGGUAAU